CAUGCUGUGAUCGAUUGAUAGACGGGCUGUCUCGUCCAUCUAUCUUGUCCGCUCAGUCUGGUGUCCAUGGCCACCAUGCGAUGGCUGGUUGCCACUUGGCUUAUCUACAACCACUGAUCGCCCAUGCAAUCCGAUAGUUCCUGUUCGCCCAGAAAAUCAAUUUAAAUAGCUUUUCUCCCUCUUUCACUUCAUACAUUCUCAAACUUUAGAGAAAAUUUAAGAGGAAAUUUGUGUGGGAGAUGGGAGUUAGGAUUUCUUCUUACGGUUCACGAGUUUCCGAACAAUCUUUUGCAUCUUUUUUUCUCUAGGACUUCAAAAAGCAUUGAAGGUUUUGGUAAGGGAUUUCUUAGUAUUUGUUUAUACAGUUCCAUGCAAAUUUUUAGAUAAUUUUUUGUGACGAUUGAUUUGUCCUAAUUCAUGAAGCUAAAUUUUGUUUAUCGGUUAUAUGAUACACAUGGAUAUAUGUGUUGUUAGUUUUUCUUAAAAACAAUAAUGCAUGUUUAUUCAAACUUUGAUAACAUUUGUUAUAUGUGUGGAUUUGCUCCUCUACCUUACCUUUGGGUGAUAGUAAAGAGGGUUAUUCUAUUGAGUCUCGACUCGAGAGGUUGACCUAGUGGCAAAGUCCGAGUAUGAAGGCCUCUUUAGGUCGAGAUAUUUUAAUCGAACCCCCACUGGGUUCUGAAUUCAUUAUUAUCUAUGAAUUAAAAUUAGUAAAGAAAGAGGAAAGAAUUAAAAAUCCAUUUGACCAUUAUCAUUCGGGGUUUCUGUUUCUGUAUCUAAAUUUGUAUCUGAAUCUGCUGGUGAACAAAUCCCUGUGAAUGGUACUAGCAUUCUCUCUAACGAGAGUGGAUUGCCGAUCUAAUAUGUAGGGGCCAUAAUGGCAAAGUAUGAUGGUAAUCAUUAGUUUUAUCCUUUUGUAGGGGUCACAAUGGUGAAGUACAGUCGUGGCCAUUAGUUUAUCUUUGAAAUAUUUGAUACUAAAAUGAAUCUAUUUGCCCAUUCAGAGUGGUAGUUAAGGAUCCCUUCUGCACUCAAUUGAUAUAAGUUAGAACGACUUCACACAAAAAUCUAUAAAAGACGUAAAUAAAAUUGAUACACUUGAUGAUACGACUAGAAUAAUUGAUUGAUUUUCCCAUGCUUUACUUGUUCUCUUCAAAUUAGUAUGUUAAUCACUAUUUCAUAAUGACUUUGUCAUGCUUGUAGUUGGUUUAACUAGUUUUUAUUUCACUGUCUUGUUGUAUCCUUAACAUAUUGUGGUUACAUUGCUAUGUCUUUACUUCCUGUUUUGACUGAAAU
rnacentral:lncRNA from 1 species